AGAGUUUGAUCCUGGCUCAGGAUGAACGCUGGCGGCGUGCUUAACACAUGCAAGUCGAACGAAGCACUUAUCUUUGAUUCUUCGGAUGAAGAGGUUUGUGACUGAGUGGCGGACGGGUGAGUAACGCGUGGGUAACCUGCCUCAUACAGGGGGAUAACAGUUAGAAAUGACUGCUAAUACCGCAUAAGACCACGGAGCCGCAUGGCUCAGUGGGAAAAACUCCGGUGGUAUGAGAUGGACCCGCGUCUGAUUAGGUAGUUGGUGGGGUAACGGCCUACCAAGCCAACGAUCAGUAGCCGACCUGAGAGGGUGACCGGCCACAUUGGGACUGAGACACGGCCCAAACUCCUACUGGAGGCAGCAGUGGGGAAUAUUGCACAAUGGGGGAGACCCUGAUGCAGCGACGCCCGCGUGAGCGAAAAAGUAUUUCGGUAUGUAAAGCUCUAUCAGCAGGGAAGAAAAUGACGGUACCUGACUAAGAAGCACCGGCUAAAUAACGUGCCAGCAGCCCGCGGUAAUACGUAUGGUGCAAGCCUUAUCCGGAUUUACUGGGUUGGUAAAAAGGAGCGUAAACGGCCAGGCCAGUCUGAAGGGAAAACCCAGGGCUUAACCCGGGGACUCAAUUGAAAACUUUUGGGUCGAAGCCCGAGAGGGUAAGCGGAAUUCCUAGGGUAGCGGGGAAAAUGGGUAGAUAUAGGAAAGAACACCAGUGGGGCCAGGCGGCUUACUGGACGGUAACUGACGUUGAGGCUCGAAAGCGGGGGGAGCAAACAGGGAUUAGAUUACCCCUGGUAGUCCACCGCCGGUAAACGAUGAAUGCUAGGUGUUGGGGAGCAAAGCUCUUCGGUGCCCGCCGCAAACGCAUUAAGCAUUCCACCUGGGGAGUACGUUCGCAAGAAUGAAACUCAAAGGAAUUGACGGGGACCCGCACAAGCGGUGGAGCAUGUGGUUUAAUUCGAAGCAACGCGAAGAACCUUACCAGGUCUUGACAUCCCGAUGACCGGUCCGUAACGGGGCCUUCUCUUCGGAGCAUUGGAGACAGGUGGUGCAUGGUUGUCGUCAGCUCGUGUCGUGAGAUGUUGGGUUAAGUCCCGCAACGAGCGCAACCCUUAUCCUCAGUAGCCAGCAGGUCAAGCUGGGCACUCUGUGGAGACUGCCAGGGAUAACCUGGAGGAAGGUGGGGAUGACGUCAAAUCAUCAUGCCCCUUAUGAUCUGGGCUACACACGUGCUACAAUGGCGUAAACAAAGGGAGGCAAAGCCGCGAGGUGGAGCAAAUCCCAAAAAUAACGUCUCAGUUCGGACUGCAGUCUGCAACUCGACUGCACGAAGCUGGAAUCGCUAGUAAUCGCGAAUCAGAAUGUCGCGGUGAAUACGUUCCCGGGUCUUGCACUCACCGCCCGUCA
rnacentral:rRNA from 1 species